UCCGGUUUGUCACCGGCAGUCUCCUAUGAGUCCCCAACUUAAUGCUGGCAACAUAGGACGGGGGUUGCGCUCGUUGCGGGACUUAACCCAACAUCUCACGACACGAGCUGACGACAGCCAUGCACCACCUGUGAAAGUGUCCCGAAGGAAGACCGUGUUUCCACGGCUGUCACUUACAUGUCAAGCCCAGGUAAGGUUCUUCGCGUUGCAUCGAAUUAAACCACAUGCUCCACCGCUUGUGCGGGCCCCCGUCAAUUCCUUUGAGUUUCACCCUUGCGAGCAUACUCCCCAGGCGGUGCACUUAACACGUUAGCUAAGACGCUGACAGUUUAUCGCCAACAUCGAGUAAUCAUCGUUUACGGCGUGGACUAC
rnacentral:misc_RNA from 1 species